GGCCGCCUGGCGAAAUGGCAUCGCGUCUGACUACGAAUCAGGAGACUGCAGGUUCGACCCCUGCGGUGGUCA
rnacentral:tRNA from 1 species